GAUGAAGUCUGCACGCAUUUUGAUUAUUUUUCCUUUGGUGUUUCUAAUAUUCCUUAAUAAAGUCUCAAACGGACAGGAUGACAUAUAUUUUCCAUUAGAUACUGAAAGGGCUGAAGGUGAGAAUUGUAGGCGAAGUGACGGAGUGGCGGGGACUUGCAGGAGAGUUGAAAAUUGCCAGCGAUCUGUUCGUCAUCUUCGGGACGAGGAUUUCUGCUCAUUUUCUGGACGUAUGGCAAUAUAUUGUUGCCCCAAUUCUGCGCCGAGAUUGGGUACAUCUGAGAUUCCCAUUACAUCUGUGGACGAGCUUUGCGAAGCAUUUUAUCCUAGACAGCAGCCACAUUACAAUAUCUUGAUAACUGGUGGAAGAAAAUCUUUAGCUAAUCAGCAUCCCUAUAUGGCUGCAAUCGGCUGGAGGGAUUUUGAUGGCGAAAUUCAGUGGAGAUGUGGAGGUAGCGUUGUUUCGCGUAAAUUUGUAUUAACUGCAGCACACUGCACCAUGGUAAGAAGAGCACGCCCUGACAUUGUUCGAACAGGAGAUCUGAAUUUACGCAUAACUGAGAAUAAUACGCACCCCGUAGACCAUGAUAUAAUUGGCAUUUACGUUCAUCCAGAAUAUCGUGCAAACUCAGUAUACCACGACAUAGCACUUUUGAAAAUAUCACCAAAUUUUGGGAUAUCACCGACGAAUCAACCAGCUUGCCUUUGGUCAUCAAAUAAUAUCCCAGUUAGCGAGCUUACGGCAUUGGGGUAUGGAACAACUGAAUACAGUGGUCCUGACGUGGAGAUAUUAUACGAAGUGGAAAUUCCCGUUUUAUCCAACCAAGCGUGUCGAAUAGAAUUACCGCCUAGUCGAUCUCUUCCUUUCGGAAUAAUAGAUGGACAAAUGUGUGCUCUGGAUCCGAAUGGUCAAAAGGACACUUGCCAGGGAGAUUCGGGAGGACCAUUACAAUUCUCAAAUAAUGUUGGUGGACGCAGGAGACCUACAAUAGUGGGAAUAACGUCGUUUGGCCAGUAUUGCGCUGGACCGUCUCCUGGAAUAUACACACGAGUAUCGGCAUAUUUGAAUUGGAUUGAGCCAAUAUUAUUAAGUGACCUAUAGUUUCCGGUAUAUUGAGUUCUAGAAGGUUUUUUUUAACUUAAUAGAAACGAAGUAUCUGUACCAAGAACAACUCAGUUAUGCUAUAUUCACUUAUAUUGAAGUGGCUGCCACUCGAUGUUGUUGCAGUUAUUUGCUACUUAGAGCUGUUCACUCGAUCUUAACAUAUGUAGUCAAACUAAUGAUGUAAAUGGCGCUGUAUGAAUGAAUGAAUUUACGUAAUUUAUUU
rnacentral:misc_RNA from 1 species